GAUGAACGCUGGCGGCGUGCCUAAUACAUGCAAGUCGAGCGAACAGACGAGGAGCUUGCUCCUCUGACGUUAGCGGCGGACGGGUGAGUAACACGUGGAUAACCUACCUAUAAGACUGGGAUAACUUCGGGAAACCGGAGCUAAUCCCGGAUAAUAUAUUGAACCGCAUGGUUCAAUAGUGAAAGACGGUUUUGCUGUCACUUAUAGAUGGAUCCGCGCCGCAUUAGCUAGUUGGUAAGGUAACGGCUUACCAAGGCAACGAUGCGUAGCCGACCUGAGAGGGGGAUCGGCCACACUGGAACUGAGACACGGUCCAGACGCCUACGGGAGGCAGCAGUAGGGAAUCUGCCGCAAUGGGCGAAAGCCUGACGGAGCAACGCCGCGUGAGUGAUGAAGGUCUUCGGAUCGUAAAACUCUGUUAUUAGGGAAGAACAAAUGUGUAAGUAACUAUGCACGGCUUGACGGUACCUAAUCAGAAAGCCACGGCUAACUACGUG
rnacentral:rRNA from 1 species